GGGCCCUAGCCAGUCCUACCAGCAAACGACUUUUAGUUUGCCUUCCCGAAACUAAGUGAGCUACUUUAAAGCAGCUAUUAGAGCUAACCCGUCUCUGUCGCAAAAGAGUGGGGUGACUUUAAAGUAGAGGUGAUAGACCUACCGAACUUAGAGAUAGCUGGUUUUUUAAGAAAAGAAUUUUAGUUCAGCCCCAAGCCUUUCGUUAAGCAAAAAACCUUCUUAGGCCUGGGAGUCAUUCAUAUAGGGCACAGCCUAUUUGAAACAGGAUACAACCUAGAAUAUAGGGUAAAACAAUGUGAUUUUUCUAUAAGUGGGCUUGAAAGCAGCCACCUUUCAAAAAGCGUUGUAGCUUAUUGAUACUGAUUAUUUAAUAACCUCAAAAAUGUUUAACCCACACACACUAUUAAACUAUCCCAUAAAUUUAUGGGAGCUAUCAUGCUAGAACAAGUAACAAGAAAAAGAUUUUUCUCCAAAAUACAAGCUUUAGCCGCUACAGACAAACUACCGGCAAUUAACGCCUUUUAACUAAUUUAGUAACUCUAACAAGAAAACCCUAUAAACCCCCAGCGUCAACCUUACACUAGCAUAUUAAUGGAAAGAUUAAAAGAAGGGGAAGGAACUCGGCAAAUAUUGACCCCGCCUGUUUAUAAAAAAAACAUGAAAA
rnacentral:rRNA from 1 species